ACGAAGGGGGCGAGCGUUGUUCGGAUUUACUGGGCGUAAAGGGCGCGUAGGCGGCCUGCUAAGUCGAACGUGAAAUCCCCGGGCUCAACCCGGGAACUGCGUCCGAUACUGGUUGGCUUGAAUCCGGGAGAGGGAUGCGGAAUUCCAGGUGUAGCGGUGAAAUGCGUAGAUAUCUGGAGGAACACCUGAGGCGAAGGCGGCUGUCUGGCAGUGCAUCGACGCUGAGGCGCGAAAGCGUGGGGAGCAAACAGGA
rnacentral:rRNA from 1 species